rnacentral:tRNA from 1 species
GCGUCCUUAGUUCAAUCGGUAGAACAAUGGUCUCCAAAACCAUUGGUUGCAUGUUCGAGUCGUGCAGGGCGUGCUUA